rnacentral:rRNA from 1 species
AUUGAACGCUGGCGGCAGGCCUAACACAUGCAAGUCGAGCGAGCGGCGGACGGGUGAGUACUGUCUGGGAAACUGCCUGAUACCGGGGGAUAACUACUGGAAAAGGUAGCUAAUACCGUAUACCAUCCGCUGUGCCAAGGGGGGAUUAGCUAGUGGGUGGGGUAACGGCUCACCUAGGCGACGAUCCCUAGCUGGUCUGAGAGGUUGACCAGCCACACUGGAACGGAGACACGGCCCAGACUCCUACGGGAGGCAGCAGUGGGGAAUAUUGCACAAUGGGCGCAAGCCUGAUGCAGCCAUGCCGCGUGUGUGAAGAAGGCCUUCGGGUUGUAAAGCACUUUCAGCGGGGAGGCGUUACCCGCAGAAGAAGCAACGGCUAACUCCGUGCCAGCAGCCGCGGUAAUAC